AUGUCGAAGGCGCCCAGGAACCCCGGCGGCGGGUCGGCGGGCGCGCCCAAGUCGUCGUCCGGGCAGCCGGUGAAGUUCGCGCGCCGGACGCCGAGCGGGCGGUAUCUCAGCCUGUCGCGCGAGGACAUAGACAUGGAGGGCGAGAUGGGGCCGGACUACGCCAACUACACGGUGCACAUCCCGCCCACCCCGGACAACCAGCCCAUGAAGGACGGCUCGGAGCCGACGGCCGUGGCGAUGAAGGCCGAGGAGCAGUACGUGUCCAACUCGCUCUUCACCGGCGGGUUCAACAGCGUGACCCGCGCCCACCUCAUGGACAGGGUCAUCGACUCCGACGUGAAGCACCCGCAGAUGGCCGGGGCCAAGGCCACCCGCUGCGCCAUGCCGGCCUGCGACGGCAAGGUCAUGCGCAACGAGCGCGGCGAGGAGGUCGACCCCUGCGAGUGUAGGUUCAAGAUCUGCCGUGACUGCUACCUGGACGCGCAGAAGGACGGCUGUCUCUGCCCCGGGUGCAAGGAGCACUACAAGAUCGGCGACUACGCCGACGACGACCCGCAUGACGUGUCGGCAGGGAAGUCCCUGCUCGCCCGGAACCAGAACGGGGAGUUCGACCACAACCGGUGGCUCUUCGAGAGCUCCGGCACCUACGGCUAUGGCAACGCGUUCAUGCCCAAGGGCGGCAUGUACGAGGACGACCUGGACGAGGACGGCGCAGGCGGCGACGGCGGCAUGCCGGCGGACUUGAGCCAGAAGCCGUUCAAGCCGCUGACGCGGAAGAUACCGAUGCCGACGUCGAUCAUCAGCCCGUACCGGAUCUUCAUCGUCAUCCGGUUCUUCGUGCUCAUCUUCUACCUCACCUGGCGUAUCCGCAACCCUAACAUGGAGGCGCUCUGGCUCUGGGGCAUGUCCAUCGUCUGCGAGCUCUGGUUCGCCUUCUCCUGGCUUCUCGACAUGCUCCCCAAGGUGAACCCCAUCAACCGCAGCACCGACCUCGCCGUGCUCAAGGAGAAGUUCGAGACGCACUCGCCGUCCAACCCCCACGGCAGGUCCGACCUGCCGGGCCUCGACGUCUUCGUCUCCACCGCCGACCCGGAGAAGGAGCCGGUGCUCACCACCGCCAACACCAUCCUCUCCAUCCUGGCCGUGGACUACCCCGUGGAGAAGCUCGCAUGCUACGUGUCCGACGACGGAGGCGCGCUGCUCACCUUCGAGGCCAUGGCGGAGGCCGCGAGCUUCGCCAACAUAUGGGUGCCAUUCUGCAAGAAGCACGACAUCGAGCCCCGCAACCCAGACAGCUACUUCGCCCUCAAGGGAGACCCCACCAAGGGCAAGCGGCGGUCGGACUUCGUCAAGGACCGACGCAAGGUGAAGCGGGAAUACGAUGAGUUCAAGGUGCGAAUCAACGGCCUCCCGGACUCGAUCCGCCGCCGCUCCGACGCCUUCAACGCCCGCGAGGACAUGAAGAUGCUCAAGCACCUCCGUGAGACCGGCGCCGACCCGUCGGAGCAGCCUAAGGUGAAGAAGGCUACCUGGAUGGCCGACGGCACGCAUUGGCCGGGCACCUGGGCCGUGUCCUCGCCUGACCACGCCAAGGGUAACCACGCCGGCAUCCUACAGGUGAUGCUGAGGCCGCCGUCGCCGGACCCGCUGUACGGCAUGCAUGACGAGGACCAGCUGGUCGACUACAGUGACGUAGACACCCGGCUGCCGAUGCUGGUGUACAUGUCGCGGGAGAAGCGGCCGGGGUACGACCACAACAAGAAGGCAGGCGCCAUGAACGCCCUGGUGCGGUGCUCCGCCGUCAUGUCCAACGCGCCCUUCAUCCUCAACUUCGACUGCGACCACUACAUCAACAACACGCAGGCCAUCCGCGAGGCCAUGUGCUUCAUGAUGGACCGCGGCGGCGAGCGCAUCUGCUACAUCCAGUUCCCGCAGAGGUUCGAGGGCAUCGACCCCUCCGACCGCUACGCCAACCACAACACCGUCUUCUUCGAUGGCAACAUGCGCGCGCUCGACGGCCUCCAGGGCCCCAUGUACGUCGGCACCGGCUGCAUGUUCCGUCGCUUCGCGCUCUACGGCUUCGACCCGCCUCGGACGGCCGAGUACACAGGCUGGCUCUUCAAGAAGAAGAAGGUGACCAACUUCAAGGACCCCGAGUCGGACACGCAACAGCUCAAGGCGGAGGACUUCGAUGCGGAGCUCACGGCGCAGCUGGUGCCCAGGCGGUUCGGCAACUCGUCGGCAAUGCUGGCGUCCAUCCCCAUCGCCGAGUUCCAGGCGCGUCCAAUCGCCGACCACCCCGCCGUGCUGCACGGAAGGCCGCCAGGCACGCUCACCGUGCCACGCCCGCCGCUGGACCCGCCCACUGUUGCCGAGGCCGUCUCCGUCAUCUCCUGCUGGUACGAGGACAAGACCGAGUGGGGAGACCGUGUGGGAUGGAUCUACGGCUCCGUCACAGAGGACGUGGUCACUGGCUACCGCAUGCACAACCGCGGCUGGCGCUCCGUCUACUGGAUCAGCAAACGCGACGCCUUCCUUGGCACAGCCCCCAUCAACAUGACCGACCGUCUGCACCAGGUGUUGCGUUGGGCGACGGGGUCGGUGGAGAUCUUCUUCUCCCGGAACAACGCGUUCCUGGCAUCGCGGAAGCUCAUGUUCCUGCAGCGGGUCGCGUACCUCAACGUCGGCAUCUACCCGUUCACCUCCAUCUUCCUGCUCACCUACUGCUUCAUCCCGGCGCUUUCCCUCUUCUCCGGGUUCUUCAUCGUGCAGACGCUCAACGUCGCCUUCCUCUUCUACCUCCUCACCAUCACGGUCACCCUCAUCGCGCUCGGCAUCCUCGAGGUCAAGUGGUCAGGCAUUGAACUCGAGGACUGGUGGCGCAAUGAGCAAUUCUGGCUCAUCUCAGGCAUAAGCGCGCACCUAUAUGCGGUGGUGCAGGGGUUGCUCAAGGUGAUGGCCGGGAUUGAGAUCUCCUUCACACUGACCGCCAAGGCGGCGGCUGAAGACAACGAGGACAUCUACGCGGACCUCUACGUCGUCAAGUGGUCAUCGCUGCUCAUCCCGCCCAUCACCAUCGGCAUGCUCAACAUCAUCGCCAUCGCCUUCGCCUUCGCCCGCACCAUCUAUAGCGACAACCCACGGUGGGGCAAGUUCAUCGGCGGCGGUUUCUUCAGCUUUUGGGUGCUCGCUCAUCUCAACCCAUUCGCCAAGGGUCUCAUGGGCCGCCGCGGCAAGACACCCACCAUCAUCUUUGUCUGGUCAGGCCUCAUAUCCAUCACCAUCUCCCUCCUGUGGGUGGCCCUCAGUCCACCGGAGGCGAACUCCACCGGUGGUGCACGAGGCGGCGGAUUCCAGUUCCCUUAA
rnacentral:rRNA from 1 species